UACGUAGGGGGCAAGCGUUGUCCGGAUUUAUUGGGCGUAAAGAGCGUGUAGGCGGCCAUACAGGUCAGCUGUGAAAACUCGAGGCUCAACCUCGAGACGUCGGUUGAAACCGUAUGGCUAGAGUCCGGAAGAGGAGAGUGGAAUUCCUGGUGUAGCGGUGAAAUGCGCAGAUAUCAGGAAGAACACCCGUGGCGAAGGCGGCUCUCUGGUACGUGACUGACGCUGAGACGCGAAAGCGUGGGGAGCAAACAGG
rnacentral:rRNA from 1 species